GACGGGAUAAGUGCUGAAAGCAUCUAAGCAUGAAGCCCCCCUCAAGAUGAGAUUUCCCAUAGCGCCAAGCUAGUAAGACCCCUUGCAGAUGACAAGGUUGAUAGGUCUGAGGUGGAAGCGUGGUGACACGUGGAGCUGACAGAUACUAAUCGGUCGAGGGCUUAUCCA
rnacentral:rRNA from 1 species